GUGCUUGCUUCGGCAGCACAUAUACUAAAACCAGAACGAUACAGAGAAGAUUAGAGUGGUCCCUGCGCAAGGAUGACAUGACGUUCGUGAAGCGUUCCAUCUGUUU
rnacentral:snRNA from 1 species